GACGAACGCUGGCGGCGUGCUUAACACAUGCAAGUCGAACGGAAAGGCCCUGCUUUUGUGGGGUUCUCGAGUGGCGAACGGGUGAGUAACACGUGAGUAACCUGCCCUUGACUUUGGGAUAACUUCAGGAAACUGGGGCUAAUACCGUAUAGGAUCUCCUGCUGCAUGGUGGGGGUUGGAAAGUUUCGGCGGUUGGGGAUGGACUCGCGGCUUAUCAGCUUGUUGGUGGGGUAGUGGCUUACCAAGGCUUUGACGGGUAGCCGGCCUGAGAGGGUGACCGGGCACAAGAGGACUGAGAUACGGAGCAGACGCGUACGGGAGGCAGCAGUGGAGAAUAUGGCACAAUGAGCGGAAGCGUGAGGCAGAAACGCCGGGUGCGGAAUGACGGCCUUCGGGGUGUGAACCGCUUUCGCCUGAGACGAAGCGUGAGUGACGGUAAUGAAUAAAGAAGCACCGGCUAACUACGUG
rnacentral:rRNA from 1 species